GACCUCGUAGCUCAGUUAGCUAGAGCGUUGGCUGCACUAAAGCCCUCCUUGCUUGCGUCGGUUCACAUCCCACUGAGGUCA
rnacentral:tRNA from 1 species